UACUCUUGACAUCCUGAGAACUUUCUAGAGAUAGAUUGGUGCCUUCGGGAGCUCAGUGACAGGUGCUGCAUGGCUGUCGUCAGCUCGUGUCGUGAGAUGUUGGGUUAAGUCCCGUAACGAGCGCAACCCUUGUCCUUAGUUGCCAUCAGGUUAUGCUGGGAACUCUAAGGAGACUGCCGGUGACAAACCGGAGGAAGGUGGGGAUGACGUGUAACCGAAUCU
rnacentral:misc_RNA from 1 species